rnacentral:lncRNA from 10 species
ACUCAGGAGGCCGAGGCACAAGAAUCGCUUAAACCCAGGAGGCGGAGGUUGCAGUGAGCCAAGAUCAUGCCACUGCACUCCAGCCUGGACAACAGGGCGAGAUUCUGUUUCAAAAAAAAAAAGAUACUACCAGAGACUGGGUAAUUUAUAAAUAAAGGAGGUUUAAUUGACUCAGUGUUCUGUCUGGCUAGGGAAGCCUCAGGACACUUACGAUCAUGGCAGAAGGGGAGGAAACCACCUUCUUCACAUGGUGGAAGGAGAGAGAUGGGCAAAGGAGGAACUCCCAAACACUUAUAAAAACCAUCAGAUCUUGUGAGAACUCACUCACUGUCAUGAGAACAGCAUGGGGAAAAUACUGUCCCAUGAAACAAUCACCUCCCUUUCUUUACAUGUGGGGAUUGCAGGUCCCUCCCUCCACAUGUGGGGAUUACAAUUUGAGAUGAGAUUUGGGUGGGGACACAGAACCAAACCAUAUCACCCAUGUUGCAACUUAAUAAACUGAAGCACUGUGUGGUUAAGUAGUUGCAAUUGUUAAUAGCUAAGCUAGAACUUGAACACUGGUGGUCUGGCUGUAAAUGCAGCACUCUUUCUACUACGGCAACUCACCCAGGCAAGUUAUUUUAUAUUUUUAUGACAAACCAUCCUCCCACAUCCAACCCUUUAUCUGGGUGUAAAGAAGGGAUUGUGGUAAAGAUCUUGAUUGAAAUAUACCUCUGACCCCUUAUUUGAAGAGAUAAAAAGGGAAGAUGAAUUAGAAAAGGGGGAGGGAAAAUAUGCAGUGAUUAAAAGGUGGGCUUUAUUUUAAAUUUCCUUUUCUUUCAAGUUUUAUAUUUAAUACUUCAGUGUGUUUGCUUCAAAACAGGUUACCAAGCAACGGCUUCAGGCAAAUCACCUCAGAUCUGCUCUCCAUUCCCCCAGGGUUGUGGGGGUCCGAAGCACAAGCAGAUGUCUGGAGGGAGCUAUUACUCACAUCCUCCCCUUCUUAAUUUCCCCUUCUUAAUUUCGCUCGGUGGCAGUAGCAGCAGUCACAGACCAAUCUCUAUCACUUCAGGAAAGAAGGGGGCAGAAACAGAUGCGUAGAGCAGCUUCUGAAGAUCAGCAGGCCUGUGCAGCAUCAUCUGAGGGUCCCCAGAAUUAAAGCAACAUGAAACCCUUCAUACUGAGUGUGGCCACUUCCCACUGACCAUGACUCACAAAUGGUGAGGCCACCUGACAGCGUUGAAGAUAAUUACUAUUCAUCCUCUUCUGCUAAUAGAAACUAUUUUCUCCCCUAAUCUAGGUUUCCAAUUUUAGAAGCUGCCCUGUCCUCAUAAAAGAAUUACCAGGAAGGUAGGAGGUUUGUUUGUUUGCUUUUCUGUGCAUCUAAGUACCCUGACAAUCUAAUCUCUGGAGAGUCUCAGUAACCAGGCAACACAAGUCAUGCUCCAAUUGUGCGGUCCUCAAUCCACUUUUCCUGUGCUAUUCCAGUUCAAAGUAAGAAUACCAAAGCCAGAACUGCAGAAGAUAAAUGUGGAUCUUUAUUACUACAAGCAGAUAACGGGGUCUGCCCCCUCUUCUUAUUGCUGAGUAGAAAUUCUGAGGCAAGUGCUUUUAAAAAGACUAGAACAGCACAUUUUACCUAAGAAUAAGAUUAUAGCUAGUAACCUGUUUUUCUUACAAAAAAAGAAAAUGGAAGGAGAUAGCUUUUGUCUGGUGACAGUUUAUUUUAACCCAGAUGCUUCCUCCACUUGUAAUUUGGCCUCAUUUGUGUUUUCAGAAACAUCACCAAUUCAGACGGGUUUCUUGGGUAAGGACUUAAUGGACAAGGUUAAACACAGCUGUUCUGGUGCCUGAAAUCCUUAAGAGUCUAGCAGGACCGGAGCAAGUAAAAUAAACUCAGAAAGAGCUGUCUGGAUCAGUGUUUCUAGAGACAAAAUGAGUAUAAAUGAGCAUGGAGUCAACAGGCCUCCUGGGUCAAGGUCAGAGGCAACCUGGGGACACGGAUUAACAGCGGAAGAACACUGCCUAUAGUACAUUUGCUAUGAGACAGCACAGAAUUGGACAUUCUGGCCUUUAAUCAUCAGGCUAUCACAAGGAAAAGUGGUCCAGAUUUAGUACUGUGUCAGCACUUUUUAUAAUAAAUGCUUCAUUUACUAGGAAUUUAGCUAUCGAGUUGCAGAUGAUAAAAAUGACACUCAAAUGCAAGGUCAAACAGCAAACAUUUAUAAUUCCUGUCUAUUAGCUAAAUACACAGUCCUAAUUAUCCAGGUGAAAGGGGUAAUUGUUUUCCCAAACAGUGCCUCAAUCUCCAGUGAUUUACAAAGCACUUUUACACACAUCAUCUCGUCACAGUGGUGUGUAUGCCCUUGUUACACAGAUGGAUUGAACUGGAAAUUGUUUCAUUUGCCAGUUUUAAGUAUCUUCCUUUUCCCUGUGGGUGGUUUCUGUAAGGCCUGAUGGACAUAUUAUCAUCUGGAUCUUCCAGGCAAUGACACCUCUAAAGAGGCCGAUGAACUAGAACUAUCAGUUCUAACACCUUAGGCAAGAAUCCCUCAAUCUCUCUGGGUUUCAGCUUCUUCAUGUGUAUACUGUAGAUAUGUUGUCAAAAUUGUGCUAAUCUUCACCAACUAAUAAGAAAUGAUAAGAAUGAGAUUUUGUGGAUAUGGGACUUUAAUAUACAGUGAGAGGAAUAUAAAUCAGCAUGACUUUUUGCUGGUGUUAUGUAAUAAAAUGUAAAACGUACAUACCAUUUCAUGCAGAAAAUUUAUAUCCAAGAAUCUAUCCCAAUGAGGUAGUUACAUAAAUAUGCAAGUAUACACAAGAUGUUCAUCACAAUUAGAAACAACCAAAAUGUCCACCAACAUGAGACUAGUUCAAAAAGAUACGAGGUAUUCAUACAAGAGACUUUAUGCAUCCACUGAAAAGAAUCAUGUAAUUCAUAUUGGUUGACUCAAAUAGAAGCUCCAUCACAUAUUUUCAAGACAAAAGGAAUUACAAAGCAGUAUGGUUGAUAUAAUCCCAUUUAUGUGCAAAUCAAAUAAAUUCCAGAUUUCACUGUGGUUCAAUUCAGCCCAGUGUCACAUUCACAGAAACAACCCAGCAACAAAAAGGCAUUACAGAGUAAUUUCAGCCUUGGCUCUCCAUUUUCAGAAAACAUUAAAGAACCUACAAUUCCUAACCCACAGCACCACAUCUUAAAAUAGUCUCUGUAUCCCACCUUUUUCAUCUUGUUCUCUAAUUCUCACACUGUAAUAGCUCCUGAAGGCUUUCUCCUCCCCAAUAUGCUUUUCUACUCUCAACCAAAGACAUCACAAUGAUACUCAAACAGAUCAGCCACUUCUCUUUUGUCCCUCUUCCUUCUUCCUUUGUUUUUUUUCUUCACUGAUUACCAUACUCCGAAAAAUAAGGUGGAGAAAGAAGAAAAUGCUAAGUGGACAAAAUUUCCUUUCCAGAGAGUAGGAGAAAAAGAGAUUGACUAUGCAUAUACUACAAUGUCUUAACCUUGUAGCAAGCGCAAAAUUAUUUAAGUGAUAUCUACUGCAUAUAUGCCUAGAAGUGUCUGCAAGGAUGUUGACAAAAUUCUUAAGAAUAAUUAUCUCAGUUGGGAUUUCCCUGUGAACUUUGCUUUUAAUUUUAUAUCUCUCCUUAUACCUCUUUGAGUAACUCAUGAUGAACAUGUUUUGUUUGUGAUCAAAACCACGAAAUAAACUCAUGUCAACAUGUAAAAAAAGAGGUUGUAAUGAUGCUCACAAGAAACAAUAGACAUGAAAAAAUACACAAUUUAAGUACAAAGUAUAAGCAUUUUAAAUAAAUACGAUUGGACUGUCUCUUCCAGUUUCCAACAUUAAUAAGCUCCAUUAUUUUGGAAUUAUUUUAAUUACUCCUACAUGUUAGAGUUGGUUAAUUUCUGAACAACAGUCAGAUACUCCCCUGUGUUGCUUAAUUUGUUGUUUUAUUAUCAGUCAGCCCUGUUUAAUUUGUGAGUCCACUGGGUUAUGACUUGUACAGCAU